rnacentral:rRNA from 1 species
CAGUCGCCGCGGGAAUACGAAGGGUGCAAGCGCUACUCGGAAUUACUGGGCGUAAAGCGUGUGUAGGUGGUUGUUUAAGUCUGUCGUGAAAGCCCUGGGCUCAACCUGGGAAUUGCGAUGGAUACUGGGCGACUAGGGUGCGGUAGAGGAUAGUGGAAUUUCCGGUGUAGCAGUGAAAUGCGUAGAGAUCGGAAGGAACAUCUGUGGCGAGGGCGACUAUCUGGGCCAACACUGACACUGAGACACGAAAGCGUGGGGAGCAAACAGGAUUAGAUACCCCCGUAGUCCCUGUCUCUUAUAC